rnacentral:misc_RNA from 1 species
UUGAAUAAUCCUAGCCGACAAAAAUGUCGAAAAGACGUAUAGACGUCGGUGAUUCCCUUUCACAAAGUAAACGUGGACGGGAAGAUGAAAAAGAAAAGAAAGAUGAGAAGUCGUACAAGUCGGUGUUUGAGCAGUUUGGGAUCUCCAAGCCGACGUUACAGAUGAAUCCCUUCACAGGCUUGCCGUACACUCCAAAGUACUUUGAGUUACUGAACAAAAGGAAGAUGCUUCCUGUCUGGGAGUACAAGGAGAAGUUCUGUGAGAUCCUGAACAAUCACCAAAUCCUCGUGCUGGUUGGUGAAACAGGCAGUGGAAAAACAACACAGAUUCCUCAGUGGUGUUUGGAGUGGGUACGAUGUCGAUAUCAGAAAAAGGGAGUGGCUUGUACCCAGCCCAGGAGGGUGGCCGCUAUGUCUGUCUCUCAGCGUGUGUCAGAGGAAAUGGACGUGGGUCUUGGACAGGAAGUAGGGUACAGCAUUCGAUUCGAGGACUGCACAUCGUCCAAGACUCUACUCAAGUACAUGACAGACGGUAUGUUACUUCGGGAGGCAAUGUCAGACCCUCUAUUGGAGGCCUAUGGGGUGGUCAUGCUGGACGAGGCCCACGAGAGGACACUGGCCACCGACAUUCUUAUGGGGCUCCUUAAGGAGGUAGCCAAGCAGCGGGGCGAUCUCAAAAUCAUCGUCAUGAGUGCCACCCUAGACGCCGGAAAGUUCCAGAAUUACUUUGAUAAUGCCCCUCUGAUGACAGUGCCAGGCAGAACACAUCCUGUGGAGAUCUUCUACACUCCGGAGGCCGAGCGAGACUAUCUGGAGGCUGCCAUCCGGACCGUGGUCCAGAUCCACAUGUGUGAGCACUGACUUCGCCAGUCGGGACUACUACCUCAACAUCAGGAAAGCCCUGGUCUCCGGGUUCUUCAUGCAGAUUGCCCACCUGGAGAGGACGGGUCACUAUCUGACGGUCAAGGACAGCCAGGUGGUACAGCUCCACCCGUCCACCUGCCUGGACCACAAGCCUGAGUGGGUCCUAUACAACGAGUUUGUACUGACCACUAAGAACUACAUUAGGACUGUGACCGACAUCAAACCAGAGUGGUUAAUCAAGGUAGCUCCUCAAUAUUAUGAAAUGUCCAACUUCCCAAUGUGUGAAGCCAAGCGACAGCUGGAGCGAAUUAUUGCAAAGUUGGAGAGUAAGCAGUAUCAGGAAGGAUUUUAACCCAGGUCCACGGUCUAGGGGCACACAGCCUGAUACACAGUGUCAGAGGACUGAAUCUUACAGGGGACAUAGAAGUCCCCAGAACUAUGUGACUUCACCGUGUCAAAUAGUUUGGACUUGUGUUAGGAUUAUUUGUAUGUGAGGUUUAUGAGAGUGUACAAAUGGAGAUGUAUAGACAUUUGCUUAUAUAACUGCCCUCUUCAUUGCAUCUCUGAAGGUUGAAGUAAUGUAGCAUAAAACUUUUUGUUUUAUUGAAGCAAUCUUUGAACAUCAUCAUGAUUGAACAUUCUAUAAAAGUGUUUUUGUGUUUUUCAUCAUCAUGAUAAAAAAAUUCUAUUGAAGUGCUUUUGAUUUUAAAGCAAUCUUGGGAUAAUAUUAUCUGACAUUUAUUAUAUGUAUAGCAAUCUUGAACCAUCUUAGUUAUACAUUUUCAAGAACGAAGUAUUUGUUUUAAAGCAAUCUUUGACCAUCAUUUAUGUCAUCAUUCUGUAGCAUGUUCAUGGAUAUUCAUUGUUAUUUGUUGAUAUCUGUAUUUGUUGUAAGAAAACCCAUCUAAAUCUGAGAGAAACAAAUGAAUAAAAAAAUGAACAAG